UCCCUGGCCUGGACUCCAGGGCCCUCUGCCCUCUCAGCCUCAGCCAGCCAGCAGGUGGGGAUGCGCUGGCAGAGUGCAUGUCCCUCAUGGCCAACGUCCACGGUCAGGACCUUGAGGGCCCCAAGGGCCUUAGGAGUGGCACUCUGAGCCCCACGAUGGCAGUUCGGGCCUUCUAGAAGAAUAUAUGAGGUCGACCCCUCUGUCAUGACAAACAGACGCAAAGAUCCAUGGCUGCUGCCAGGUGGCACCAAACCCAGCAGAGUGGACUCGGUGUCCUGUCCAGCAGUGACCGCAGUGUUCCUGGAGUCAGGAGUAAAGGCGAAGUGCGAUGUCAGUCUCAAGUCAGAGAAGUGGUCUGAACUGGACCUGGAAAAGCCAACGCUGUUGGAGAGGAAGGGCCAGGAGGCUCCAUGGGAAGACAGAGCAGAAAACAGCUGCGAGCAGAGCUCCCCGUGUGAGAUGAGUGGGUGUGACCUCUGUGAGCUGCGUAGAUGCAGUUACUUUGGAUGCAUUCUGAGAUGAGUACUACAUCAUCACCUGUACUACAUCAACUUGGGACCUACGCCAUUUGAAGUGACUACAUGAGGAAGUGCAGGGUUUGGUUUAAGUCAGAGGAGCCUGUCUGAGCUGGGCUUGGAGAAGCCAACACCGUCUAAACUGAGCGGGACCAGGAAGAGCCAUGGAGAAGCAGGACAAGGUGGAGAA